rnacentral:lncRNA from 11 species
UAUAUAUAUUUGCUAAUUUAUAUUCUAUGUAUAUGUUGAUUUGCCAGUUUGACUGUACCUCUUUGGUGUGGGAGGGGUUAUAGACAUGUGAUUGUACUGAGCAUGUUCAAACUCAGGACUCCAUUUUGUAUUCAGUAUCUGCUUAACACCUCAGUGGAGGUGGAUGUGUGUCUGCUUAACACCUCAGUAGAGGUGGAUGAAUGUUUGCAUCAGACCUUAGUGGAGGUGGAUGCGUGUUGCUGUUAGGACUUAGAGAAGUAUGACUUAUGGACUUCAUGGUUUUCAAGAAUGGAAAACAGAAGGCUGGUGGACAGGAAAAGAGAUUUAAAUAUGGGCUUAAAGCUAACCUUAAAAACUGUGGCAGACACCAGAACUGGGAAGCCCUGACCCUUGAGCACUCUAACUGGAGAUCAGCUGUGACCAGCAGUGUUGCAGAAUUCGAAGAGGCAUGAAUGGAGGGCGAAAGUGAGAAACGUGCCAAGAGGAAGAUGCAUCAAGCAAGCCCUGACUGGGAAUCCAAUGUCCUCACUGUGGAAGAACAUGUGGGUCAAGAAUAGGACUCCACAGUCACCUACAUACCCACCACCAAGACACUACACUUGGAAGGCCAUCAUACUCGGAUAAGGAGUAAGUAAAUUUGAC